GUGCAGAGCGAGAUUUCCAUUUCCACUGAUACGCAAAGCGAAAGCCGGGCAAACCACAGGAUCAGGUCCGGAGUAGCUUCCAGUGGGAGAUGUGUGCGCUUGACGCUCAGUGCCAUGGACAGUCACCAAGGACGACUGGGAGGACAUGAGCGCAGACAGAACGCCGGGAGUGAGAUGAGCAAACACUGGGCUGCUAACAAGAGCCUGAGGGCUCAGUUAGAUGAAAGAGAUCAGACGCUGAAGGAGCUGCACCAGAGAUGGAAUCUCUCACUGAUGAGGCAGCUUACCGAAGAGAAGAUUGACAGAUGCCACUGCAGAACAAAACCAGCAUGAGGCAACCAGCCAAAAACUCAAAGAAGAGCUUCAGAGAAAGGUUCAAGAGCAUCUGUACAUCACUCAGGAAUCGUAAUGCUUUUUUUGGGCUUGUCCUGCGUUGUAUUGCAGGAUGGCUUUUUCUUUCUCUUUCUUUAUUCACCUAAUUACCAUCAGUCUCGUUUGAUGUUUGGCGCCAAAUGCCAUACUUUGCCCCAGUUUCAUCGUUCAGUUCAUUCUAUCCGUUAUAUACUAUCUCCUAAUUGGUGAAACGCUUGUUAAGUGUGUUUAUUCCUCAGGAGCAGAGAAUGGCCGUCCUAGUCAUCACUGGGAAUGUAACGAUUCACUCAACUCGAUUUAUUUUUCUUUUUUUACAAAAUUAGAUUUAAGACAAAUUAUAAAUUAAAUGUGUCCUUUUAUUAUUGCUUGGACAAAAUGCUGCAUGUUUCUUUGUGAAAUUGAAAUGUAACACUAUAAUAAUAUACUAAAAUAGCACUUAUCACUGUUCUUUUGUUGGUUUUGAUUGCUUCUAUUGUCCUCAUUUGUAAGUCGCUUUGGGUUGAAGCAUCUGCUAAAUGACUAAAUCUAAAUAUAAUGUAAAUGUAAAUAACAAAACUAAAUUGAAAUUUAAAAAUAAGUAACACAAAUAAAAGAAAUCUUGGUCUGUGCUCUUUCCAUUUAAAAUGAGAGGCAACCACUGCAUUUUAAUCAUGAGCAGUUUUUAAUCUAAAUUAGAUUGUAUAACUUUAAAUUUAAAGCAAAAACAGAAUGGUUUGACUUCAGUUUUGUGAAACUAUACAUAAAAAAUAUUUGCAUGAAGCAGAAACUGAAACAGCAGAUGAGCUGAACGAGACGCAGAUUCACUCUCUGCCAGCAG
ensembl:lncRNA